AUUAAACGCUGGCGGCAUGCCUUACACAUGCAAGUCGAACGGCAGCACGGGGCAACCCUGGUGGCGAGUGGCGGACGGGUGAGUAAAGGCAUCGGAACGUAUCCUGGAGUGGGGGGAUAACGUAGCGAAAGUUACGCUAAUACCGCAUAUUCUGUGAGCAGGAAAGCAGGGGAUCGCAAGACCUUGCGCUCUGGGAGCGGCCGAUGUCGGAUUAGCUAGUUGGUGGGGUAAAGGCCUACCAAGGCGACGAUCCGUAGCGGGUCUGAGAGGAUGAUCCGCCACACUGGGACUGAGACACGGCCCAGACUCCUACGGGAGGCAGCAGUGGGGAAUUUUGGACAAUGGGCGGAAGCCUGAUCCAGCCAUGCCGCGUGAGUGAAGAAGGCC
rnacentral:rRNA from 1 species